UACGGGGGGGCAAGCGUUGUUCGGAAUUACUGGGCGUAAAGCGCACGCAGGCGGUCUGCUAAGUUUGGAGUGACAGUUGGGGGCUCAACUCCCAAAGUGCUUUGAAAACUGGCAGACUUGAGGGCUUCAGAGGGACACGGAAUUCCGGGUGGAGUGGUGAAAUGCGUAGAUAUCAUAAGGAAGACCAGUGGCGAAGGCGGGUCUCUGGACAGUUCCUGACACUGAGACACGAAGGCCAGGGGAGCAAACGGG
rnacentral:rRNA from 1 species